rnacentral:rRNA from 1 species
CAAUAGCGUAUAUUAAAGUUGUUGCAGUUAAAAAGCUCGUAGUUGGAUUUCUGGGAGGGUGCCGCCGUCCGGCGUGUCCGUGUGCAGUGGCGCCCUUCCAUCCUUCUGUUAGCGUCUCUUGGCAUUCAUUUGCUGGUGGCGGGCUCAGAUAUUUUACCUUGAGAAAAUUAGAGUGUUUCAGGCAGGCUAGGCCGGAAUACAUUAGCAUGGAAUAAUGGAAUAGGACUACGGUCUCUUUGUUGGUUUGAGGGACUGCAGUAAUGAUUAAUAGGGAUAGUUGGGGGCAUUAGUAUUUAAUUGUCAGAGGUGGAAUUCUCAGAUUUGUUAAAGACUAACUUAUGCGAAANCANNNGCCAAGGAUGUUUNCAUNAA